GGAGAGGUGGCUGAGUGGUUGAAAGCGGCAGUCUCGAAAACUGUUUUAGUUUUAAUUUGACUAACGGGGGUUCAAAUCCCCCUCUCUCCG
rnacentral:tRNA from 1 species